rnacentral:snRNA from 1 species
AGAUAACUCUUUUUUUUUUUUUUUUUUUUUUUUUAGCUGCAUGCUCAGUCGAAGAGGAAGACCUUCCCCAAAUAGAGGAGGACCGGUCUUUGGUCAAGGGUAUACGAGUAGCUGCGCUCCCCUACUAGAACCUCCAAACAAGCUCCCAAGAUAACUCUUAUCAAUGAAAAUAUUUAACUGGGGGCUUGUUUACAGUUUCAGAGGCUUAGUUCAUUAUCAUCAUGGUGGAUAGCAUGGGAGUACAUAGACAACCAUGAU